UCAGCUCCUCCGAACGUGGUUAACGUCCUCCCGUUCCCGUUUCUCCUAGCAGGAACCGCGCCCGCCAUUCCCCGCCGCGCGCCGCCGCUCGCCAUCCCCCGCCGCCGCCGCUCGCCAUCCCUCCCCGCCGCCGCCGCUCCCAGACCCUAAGCACGCCGCGAUCCACCGUCGUCGUGUCCUCUGAUCCUCGCGUCACCGCCAGUCGCCAUCCCUCGCCGCCGCCGCCGCUCGGCAUCCCCCGCAUCCGCCGCUCGCUCCAUCGACGAUCUGCGCCGUCCCGACCUCUGCUCGUGUAGAGCAUGCCUAUCCCCCGGCCGAUUCGCAGCGUGGCUGGAGAAGGGAGCUCGAGGCCUCGAGCGCUGCCGCCCAUUCAUCUCCCGAGCCCAAGUGCCGCCGGCCGAUUUGAGCCUGUCCUUCGCCGAUUCGAGCCAGUCCGCGCCGAUUCGUCGUCCUCCACAGGCCCUCCGUCCCAAGGUCGUCAGGCUGGAGGUCCCGCAGGUCCACUGCGGAGCUCGCUCACGCAGGCCCACGGCUGGAUCUCGCACGGAUCCGGCAAGGACUGGUCCGGCAGCUCCCUGCUACGACGUUCUUAUCGGGUGGCUUUUCAUUGGAGGCAGUGGUGAGAUUGAAGCCUUAGGGGCUAGGUAAGAGGCCGAGAGCAACGAGCUCCAAGGGUGUACAAAGGCGCGGCCAAGAUGACAAAUGCGGAAGAGAGACCUGGACCGGAGAGAUACUGCAGACUUCGGGCCCGCCGUCCCAGACCCUACUUCUUCAUCCCAGUGCUGAUUCCAUUUUGUGCUUACAUUGAUGCUUCAAGCAGUCGAUUUGCUUGUUUCUGCUGCGCAGCAACUGCUACAUGGCGCAGCCGAUGGCUUGCUCGGUGGGCAAGCUGCCUGACAGCCUUGCUGGCAGGGAUCCUUAAUGAUGCGGGCAACACAGAUCUAGCGACAGCCAGCGCAUGAUUGAUGCUAGUGACGCAUCAUCUUGUGCAAGACCAAGAACAGCAACAUCGAAUCCGUACUGGACAAAGCACGAGAGAUAUGUUCUGCAAACUCCUUCAAGAACCACUCCAAGCUAGGUCCUCUCCUCCGCAUGGGGUUUUCACCUGGUUCACCGCACGUCGCACAAAAUUGACGUUGGGGAGACGAACAGACGUUUAUGCAGAUCAUGAGUACAUCAGCAUAGGUGUCUUUGCCAGUACAUUUGUUAUUUGCAAUGAGGAACCUAAUUUAGUGACAUGACAUUGAACUUUCACCAUCUCAUAUCCAUCAGGUGUGGCUACGGGUGCAGUGGAACAUGGAGCAGUAAGCGAUGAUGUGGCCACAGGACAUACUCCAAUAUUGCAUCAGAGUAUGCUUGACUUCUGUUUGCACUAUGGAAGACAUAACAACAAGCUCUCAGAUGAUGAAGUUGUAUGCCAAUCAUUGGCUAGAUUGUAGAUUCAGGAUCUGUAUAUUGGUUCUUGCAUGCUCAGUUCUACAGAGAUUUUUUUGUGUGGAAUUCUGACCUCGCAACAAUGAGAACUCUGUGAUCCAUGGUCCAAUGUUUAUCAUUUCUCAGGAAAGUCUAUCUAGUAUUCUAGUGCAGCAAUUGCAUGUACAAGACCUACUGGCUCUUUUCACUCCUUGUAAUGAUCACUAGGUGCUAUAAUUGUUGUACAAUUGUAUUACUUGUGUCUGGGAGCGUGAUGCUGAAUCCAGGUUCCUAUAUGCAAA